AGCGAACGCUGGCGGCAGGCCUAACACAUGCGAGUCGAACGGAACCUCCGGGAUUAGUGGCGGACGGGUGAGUAACACGUGGGAACGUGCCCUUUGGUUCGGAACAACUCAGGGAAACUUGAGCUAAUACCGGAUGUGCCCUUCGGGGGAAAGAUUUAUCGCCAUUGGAGCGGCCCGCGUCUGAUUAGCUAGUUGGUGAGGUAACGGCCCACCAAGGCGACGAUCAGUAGCUGGUCUGAGAGGAUGAUCAGCCACACUGGGACUGAGACACGGCCCAGACUCCUACGGGAGGCAGCAGUGGGGAAUCUUGCGCAAUGGGCGAAAGCCUGACGCAGCCAUGCCGCGUGAAUGAUGAAGGUCUUAGGAUUGUAAAAUUCUUUCAGCGGGGACGAUAAUGACGGUACCCGCAGAAGAAGCUCCGGCUAACUUCGUG
rnacentral:rRNA from 1 species